GACGAACGCUGGCGGCGUGGAUUAGGCAUGCAAGUCGAACGGUAUCAUCCUUUCGGGGGUGAGAGAGUGGCGAACUGGUGAGUAACACGUAGGUUAUCUACCCUCAAGACGGGGACAACCCAGGGAAACUUGGGCUAAUACCGGAUGUGAGCAACUUUUAGUUGUUUGAAAGGUGGCGUAAGCUGUCGCUUGGGGAUGAGCCUGCGUCCUAUUAGUUAGUUGGUGAGGUAACGGCUCACCUAGGCAAUGAUAGGUAGGCGGCCUUAACGGGUGGUCGCCCACACUGGGAUUGAGAUACGGCCCAGACUCCUACGGGAGGCAGCAGUCGAGAAUAGUCUACAAUGGUCGGAAGACUGAUAGUGCGACGCCGCGUGAACGAUGAAUCCCUUCGGGGUGUAAAGUUCUUUUAUAUGUGAGCAGUGCUUCUUAUAUUAACAGUAUGGGGAAGAGAUAUUAGCAUAUGAAUAAGCAACGGCUAAACUCCGUGCCAGCAAGCCGCGGU
rnacentral:rRNA from 1 species